UGUUAAAAUUGUUUCUUCUAGGGCUGGGGAUGUGGCUCAAGCGGUAGCGCACUUGCCUGGCUUGCAUGCGGCCCGGGUUCGAGCCUCAGCACCACAUACAAAGAUGUUGUGUCCGCCGAAAACUAAGAAAAAUAAAUGUUAAAAUUCUCUCUCUCUCUCUCUCAAUCUCAAUCUCUCUUUAAAAAAAAAUUACUUUCUUCUAAAAUAUUUACAACUAUCUAGUAUUCUAAACCAAACUAUGACUAAUUAUUGAUAUCAAAGUGCCAACCAAAGUCAUUUUAAAUUAAAUAUUUCAUUAAAAAUUUUGUAGAUGAGCCAGGUAUAGUGGCACAUGCCUUGUAAUCCCAGCUAUUCAGGAGGCUGAGGCAUGAGGAUCACAAAUUAAAGUCCAGUCUGGACAAUUUAACAAAACCCUGUCUUGUUAAAAAUGAAAUAAAAAGUGCUGAGGAUGUAACUCAAAGGUAAAGAGCUUGCCUAGUAUGUAUGAGAUCAUGGAUUCAAUCCACAGGACUUAAAAAAAAUUGCAGAUGAAAUUAAGUUUAAUUUAUCAUUUUAUUAAACUAAAUUAUUUGCAAUUCUAGCCUUCAGUAUUCAUCUUGUGGCCAACGUGAAGAAUCUAUUUCACUUCAUGUGUGCUGUGUCCAGACUGACAUGCAUAAAGAUUUAAGAAUAAUAUGAGCUAUUCACUAUAGCAAAAUACUCCUCCAUUCUCAUAUACAGCUAUUCAGAAAACUGUUAAUUCCUAAUUCACAAGUCACUUCUGUAGUCCCUAGAAUCCCUGGGCUAAUUUUUAUAGCCACAAACAUGAAUAGGAAAAGAAGAAUAAAAUGGACACUUGGCACCACUAGAAGAAUCUAUGAGAGAGAAGGUUGGCAUGGCAGAAAAGUUCUUAGGAAGGUGCUUCUAUCAUUCCAAUCACUAAAUACAGAAGCUUUAAGGAUUGCAGUGGCGCCCCCACAAACAAAUCUGGUACUGAGGUGCAGUCACUUUUGCUUCCAGGCUACAGAACAGGGAAGCCUUUGCCAAGGGCCUGCAUGUUACUUGUGCCUGUCUUCCUUGCUUGGGCCUAAUGCUGCAGCUGCAGUGGAUUGAAACAAAGAAACUAAGCCAAUAAAACCUAUGAAAGUAAUAGUUGGAUGCAUUUUAUUUUCUUUCUUCUUCUCUCUCUCUUUUUUUUAAUCAUAAUCAAAUGGUUAUACUGGUGAGAUUUGUUUUCCAUUUUUAGAUCCCAUUGUUUUCCAUUUACUUAUAGUUGCUCCAAAUAAUAUGUUAGUAUAAUUUUCUCUUUCUAAAUGUUCA
rnacentral:lncRNA from 1 species